GACGAACGCUGGCGGCGUGCCUAAUACAUGCAAGUCGAACGCUUCUUUCCUCCCGAGUGCUUGCACUCAAUUGGAAAGAGGAGUGGCGGACGGGUGAGUAACACGUGUGUAACCUACCCAUCAGAGGGGGAUAACACUUGGAAACAGGUGCUAAUACCGCAUAACAGUUUAUGCCGCAUGGCAUAAGAGUGAAAGGCGCUUUCGGGUGUCGUUGAUGGAUGGACCCGCGGUGCAUUAGCUAGUUGGUGAGGUAACGGCUCACCAAGGCCACGAUGCAUAGCCGACCUGAGAGGGUGAUCGGCCACACUGGGACUGAGACACGGCCCAGACUCCUACGGGAGGCAGCAGUAGGGAAUCUUCGGCAAUGGACGAAAGUCUGACCGAGCAACGCCGCGUGAGUGAAGAAGGUUUUCGGAUCGUAUAACUCUGUUGUUAGAGAAGAACAAGGACGUUAGUAACUGAACGUCCCCUGACGGUAUCUAACCAGAAAGCCACGGCUAACUACGUG
rnacentral:rRNA from 1 species